AUUGAACGCUGGCGGCAUGCCUUACACAUGCAAGUCGAACGGCAGCAUGAUCUAGCUUGCUAGAUUGAUGGCGAGUGGCGAACGGGUGAGUAAUACAUCGGAACGUGCCCUGUAGUGGGGGAUAACUAGUCGAAAGAUUAGCUAAUACCGCAUACGACCUGAGGGUGAAAGUGGGGGACCGCAAGGCCUCAUGCUAUAGGAGCGGCCGAUGUCUGAUUAGCUAGUUGGUGAGGUAAAGGCUCACCAAGGCGACGAUCAGUAGCUGGUCUGAGAGGACGAUCAGCCACACUGGGACUGAGAAACGGCCCAGACUCCUACGGGAGGCAGCAGUGGGGAAUUUUGGACAAUGGGCGAAAGCCUGAUCCAGCAAUGCCGCGUGUGUGAAGAAGGCCUUCGGGUUGUAAAGCACUUUUGUCCGGAAAGAAAUGGCUCUGGUUAAUACCUGGGGUCGAUGACGGUACCGGAAGAAUAAAGACCGGCUAACUACGU
rnacentral:rRNA from 1 species